ACACACUCCCUCACACACUCACCAAAACCCUAGCCGCCCUUACCCCUUCCAACAGCAGAACAAAAGAACAAAAAAGGAAAAGAGAAGAGGGGGAGAACCGGAGAGGGAAGAGAAGAGGAAGGAAGGGAGGUGGCGCCGGUGGGCGUCACUACCACCGUCGCCGCCGUCGUGUCGUCGCGAGGAAGGCCAGAACCGAGGGAGAGAGAGCACAAGGAGAAGGAGGCGUCACCGUCGAGGUCUUCAUCGUCGCCGUCCAUGGAGGUUUGCAAACAGAGGGAAGACGCGCCGUUCUACCUAGAGGCGCCACGGGAAGGGUCGUUGCCGUCAAGCCCAGCCACCAUCGCCGCCGUUCGUGCCUCCGUUUCGCGCCGCUAGAUCUGUCACCGGGAGAGAAACAGAAUGCGCGUGGAGAGAGAAGUGGUCGCAGGGAGGUUCCACCGCCGUUGGAACUCCACUGCUGCUGCUGCCAUGGCCGUCGCGCCUCUGCCGCCAAGAAACACCAAGGAGGGACCGUCCGCUGCUGCGUUGUUCCUGUCGCCAUUCGGAUGUACCUGAACCAAGUCGUCGUUGCCACCGGAGCUGAACUGUUCCUGUCAUUAUCACGAUUUUCGGGACUAUCGCCAGCUCCAUUUUGUCGCUACUCCGGUCCAAAUUCUGCGCUCAUUCGUUUUAUUUUACUUCAAUUCUCCUUAUCUUGAUUCGACACUCCGGGUUUGGUCUCUUCGGUCCGUUAGGACCAUACUGAACAAAUAUUUGACUAUGUGAGACUUUCUAUUCAAGAGUAACGGUCUGCAAUGAGUACCUAUUCUUUGUCGAAUUUCUAGAAGUGUAUGCUCCAUAUGUCACAGGAUUAUUUUCCUGAG